rnacentral:rRNA from 1 species
UACGGAGGGUGCGAGCGUUGUCCGGAAUCACUGGGCGUAAAGGGCGCGUAGGCGGCUCGGUAAGUAGGGGGUGAAAUCCUGCGGCUUAACCGCAGGGCUGCCUUCUAAACUGUCGAGCUCGAGCACGGUAGAGGCAGAUGGAAUUCCCGGUGUAGCGGUGGAAUGCGUAGAGAUCGGGAAGAACAUCAGUGGCGAAGGCGGUCUGCUGGGCCGUUGCUGACGCUGAGGCGCGACAGCGCGGGGAGCAAACAGG